rfam:Otolemur garnettii contig001444, whole genome shotgun sequence.
GUGCCUGUGGCUCAAAAGGGUAGGGCGCCAGCCUCAUAUGCUGGAGGUUGUGGGUUCAAACCCAGCCCUGGGCCA